rnacentral:lncRNA from 9 species
CACUGUUCAUAAUACAUAAAUUAUUAGGGGUAAGAUUAAACACGCUGAUGUGAAAAUGGUGGAAGGUAUUCUAAUCUGGAAUCCUCUUAGAUUCCACCGGAGAUGGUAAAUUUGAAAGCCAUAGGAUCAUAUGUAACAGAGGUCUCAGCAAAACUGAGUUAGAUUAAGCUAAACGAAAAUUUGUUAUAUGAAAUUAGGAAGCUCACCAGUUUCCCUGGACGACUAGAGUCAGACGGAGAGCUCCCAGACUGCACUCAGAGGGCUGCCUGCGGAAAGGUUAGACAUUUUCUCCUGAAGAAUCCUUGCCACCAGCAGUUUCGUCGCUCAGCUCAUUGGCCGUAAAGCAGUUUUGCCGUAAAAGAUAAAAUAACUGAUUGACGGUUUGGUUUCAAUUGGUUAACAGUUUGAUUUUAUUUCUCUAUUGAUACAUUACUAUUUUUAUGAUAUAUGUAUAUUUCAGGCCUCAUAAUGACCUAAACAGUGAGGCGUAAGCCUGGUGGUAUUAAAAGAGUGGAUGGUAACAACCUCAUUUAUCGACCUGAUAGAAAAUAUGGUGAUAAGAAAACUUACUGGAAGUGUGAAAUAAGCAUGUAAAGCCAGACUGCAUACUACACUAGAAAAUAGCACAUCAGUUUGUAAAUCUUUUCAGUGAGCAUCGUCAUCCCUAUCAGUCCUCAAAAAGCAAAGUUUGCCAAGCUAUGGAGAAUAUAAAAGAGGGAGCCUCGGGUUCACAGCAGUCUUUGGGAGCAUUAAUGACAGAUUCUUUAGCUAAUUUGGGUAAUAGCUGUUGUUCUCUCAUGCCCUCUUUUCCAAAUUUAUUUUAGAAGCUAGAGGCAAAAGAAGAAUCAACCCUUCCUAUCCCUCCAAAAGAUGCAGUUGUGUCGUUCCUGAUGAGUACAGCUUUCUCGAAAAUGAAAGUGCAAUGGAAGGUUUGACUGAACAUUUAUUUGGGCAGCAGGCAGAAUAUUCCACCUUCUGCUCUUGGAUACCGGUUGUCUCCAGCCUUCACCCUACACAUGCAACCACACUGGACAGUCCCAUGACCAUGUCUGUCCAGCUCAGAGCCAAGACACAGAGCUGGGGUCUCCACUGGUGCCCAAGGCCUGCCCAGAGACUACUAGAACCCAAUGUCACAGGAGGCACACCCAGAUUCUUGUACUCAUGUUACCUAAACCUGAAACCCUCAAAGUACUUAAAGAGAUGUCAGCAAAAGAGCUAUUUGUGGUUUUCACUUGCUUUUAUUUAAGUCAACUUUACCAUACAGCUCAGACUGGAGUUGCUGAGGAUCUGGUACACUCACAGUGUUCAAAAUCAUGCUGUUCUUGGCAUGAACCAGGUAUAUCUUAGUUUCAUUUUUUCUUAGGACAAUUUCUUUCCCAAGGAUCUCAUUGGUCACUAAUGCAAAUAGACAGCUGAGGAGCCUGAGCUUUCAGUCUCCAGGCAGGCCUGAUUGCUAAGGGCAGCACAGCUUUGGAUCCAGCUUGACCCUUAUUAAUAAUGAUCUUGCCUGCCUUCCAAGGCCAUAUGGUCUAGAUGUGAUAGGCACAUAGCCUGACUGAUUAUUUCAACUCUCUGUGCUAAGUGAUACAGUAAAAGAACAUCAUAAGAGUCAUUUAACUAAAUGUAGAGAAUCCCAAUGGACUUCCUCAGAGACAGGAAGCCUUGUUUGAUGCCUGAAGCAUGAACACAUUAUACUUCAUUCCAUUUUCAGCAAUGCCAAAUUCUCCUUCCCAAUCAAGAUGAAUUAGAGAAAUGUAAGAAACGAAAAUACAGCCCCAGAGUCUCAGGGGCUCCAGUUUCUGGAAAUGGGUGGUAAUAGCCAUGUAAAGGCCUGGGAAAGAUGGAUAAAGUCAUUUCAGGACAAACUCCUAGUAGCUGUUGUGCACACAAUUACUUCAGACCUUUAGCUGAAUAAUUCAUGCCUAUCUUGAAGUUUAGAGCUCCUCUCUGGACCACUGGCACACUGCACUGAGAAGGAUGUUCAUGAGACAUGUGGAGUUUGGUCAGCAUGACCUUCAUGGGUGAAGAGUAAGGGGGAACACCAGGAAUGCCACAUAUUUUCUCCCCCUGCCUAAUUUCUGGAUAAAUUUCAAGUCAUAUAUUUUCUAUGAGAUCCAUCAACCAAAUUUUGUAUCUAAUAUUUCCCUAAGACUUGCUUCAAGAGUUGAUUCGACAGUUAGCAAUGAAGGCAAAACCUAAGCAGUUUUAUUUGGGAAACUUGGGAAUCCUUUACAUUUGUAUAAACCCUAAAAGAAAUAUCUAAUCUAAAGAAGACAGCUGCUAGUAUUUUGAUGGAGCUGAUCUUUACUUCCAAGGUGAGCCAGUUAAAAACAAUCUCAACUGUGACCCAUGGAAAUGUGGCUAAUCUUAUUUUUAAUAUAAAACUAUGGAUUGCUUUCAUAUUUUUCCAUGAACAAUUCUAAAGUGAAUCCUCUCAAACAUUUUGUCUUCUGGGAGGAUUUAACUGAGUUUUGGUUCCAUCCACGAAGGAUUGAGGGGGAAGAUUUGAGUGUGGAAUAAAGGCUUGGUCUCAGACAUUGACACAUGGCAUCAUCUCUAAAACUCAAUAUGAAAACCUUGUGAAGGAGAUUCUUCAGAAGCACCUAAGGAACAAAGCACCUCUGACCCCUUCAUAUAUCUCCAAACUGAGCUUUACCCUAAUUUCCAUUAAGGUUUUGGUUCUUUUUGUUGUUGUUGUUUUGUCACCUUCUUAAAAUCACAUAAACAUGGACACACACAUAUACACACUAUCAGUCACACAGUGAAUUCACUGGUGAAGCAGUGAGUAAUGUCUGGUCUCUGAAAGACAUUCAGUUAGCAACAGGCACAGGGAACCCAGCUCAGGAAAGAACAUGCAGAGAAGUUGCUCUGUUAGCCUUCUCAGCCUACUGGGAAUGUUUCCACUGUCCAGGAGGAGGUCCAGAGAAAGGAGAGGGUUCCCACAAGAUGGCAGGCUCAUUAUUGUAUGGCAUGGUAUUGUAAUUUUUUUUGCAAGGUCAUCACUCUCAGUGUUGCAAAAGUGUGGUUUGAAGUGAGCUGCCCAUCUGUUACUUACCUCCUGUCAUUCAACUGUCACUCAGCUCAUGGAAUGGAAAGAACGCUGGGGCACUGGGUCUAAAUUGGCCAAUGUGUAGGAAAUAUGGAAUGGUCAUAAAUGGAAAGAAUUCAGGUUCAAAACAAGUUUGUAGGAGGAAACCAUAGAGGAAUCUGUGUGAGGCAGCCUAGAAAUGUUUACAUAAAAAGCAGCAAAAGUCCAGGAGAAAGAAGCCAAAGGAGUCAAACUCAUGGACGUCCUCAAAUCCGAAGAGGAAUUUCAGCAAUUAAAUAUUUAGCAAGCAUCUGGAAGCCAAGAGUGGGAAGUUUACCCCAGUUAGGAGACAGAUGUGAAGGACUUCCAAUCUGGAGAAAGAAAAUUAAAAUUGAAACAGAUGGUGGGGUUGCCUUAAACUAGAGAUUCUGAACAUAUUUCUAAAAGAAGCAAAUCAAAAUAAAGCAUAACAACAGUUAUGAAGUGUUUCUUAAACCAGGUAAGACCUGUGGUUUCACUGUUGCUUCCUUGAUUUUACCCCUGAAAUCAAAGUGAUAUAAGAAAGAAGAGGGCAGGGCACAACCAUUAAAAGAAUGAUAGGACCAUUGAGAAGAAUGGGACACCCCUAAAACCCAAAGUGAGGCCCAAGAUGGCAGCAGAUUUGCCUUCCAGUGGAC